rnacentral:piRNA from 3 species
CCCGCGCAGGUUCGUAUCCUGCCGACUACGC